rnacentral:tRNA from 1 species
GCGGACGUGGUGGAAUUGGUAGACACAAGAGACUUAAAAUCUCUAGAGGGGUAACCCUCGUGCGGGUUCGAGUCCCGCCGUCCGCACCA